GAGCUUUGGUUUCUCUUGCUAACGCGUAAAUCUUUUGCCUUUUACUAAAGAUUUCCGUGGAGAGGAGCAUAAUAAUGAGUCUACCAUUUUAGCAUUCUCAUGCUUCAUCGAGUAA